GGACCCUGGACUCAGAGAAAUGGUGAUGAAGGCUCUGCAGGAGAAAGCCUCUCUUCCUGUCAACCUGGACUCACUGAACUUCCAACCAGGAGAGGCGAUCAUUCUGCCAACAUCAGUUCCUGCAGCAGCAGAUUUGGAGUCCAGUGAACCUGAUUCACACAACGAGUUUAAAGUGUGGGUCGCUGAGCCAGAGACAGAUGAAGCUCAGCCUGUGGCCCCCCCCACCC